rnacentral:rRNA from 1 species
GACAGAGGGUGCAAACGUUGUUCGGAAUUACUGGGCGUAAAGCGCGUGUAGGCGGUCUCGUAAGUCGGAUGUGAAAGCCCUGGGCUCAACCUAGGAAGUGCAUUCGAAACUUCCGAGCUGGAGUGCUGGAGAGGAAGGCGGAAUUCUCGGUGUAGAGGUGAAAUUCGUAGAUAUCGAGAGGAACACCGGUGGCGAAGGCGGCCUUCUGGACAGUGACUGACGCUGAGACGCGAAAGCGUGGGGAGCAAACAGG